AUUAUCUUGAAUAUUAUUAUAGAUAGAGAUAAACUGUAAACAGCAAUAAUGUUCAGCAAAGUAAGAUUUACAAAUAAGUCAACAUGACCAAAAUGUUUUACAGUCAAUUUUUAAUCAUUUUUCGUAAAUCUUAGUAAUCUGUUACAAAAAUCUUCUCCUCUGAAACUACUGGGCCAAAUUAAACCAAACUUGGCCAUAAUCAUCAUAAGGGUAUCUAGUAUUAAAAAUGUCUCCGGUGACCCGUCCAACCAACCAAGAUUGCCGCCAUGGCUAAAAAUAGAACCUAGGGAUAAAAUGCAGUUUCUGGCUUAUAUCUCAAAAGCCAAAGCAUUCUGACAUUGGGAAAAUUGUUUAUCAGGUUAUGAUCUAUCUGCCCUGACAUUUUCAGAUGAAUUGGACAACCCGUUGUUAGGUUGCUGCCCC
rnacentral:lncRNA from 1 species